GACGUAGGGCGCGAGCGUUGUCCGGAUUUAUUGGGCGUAAAGAGCUCGUAGGCGGCUUGUUGCGUCAGCUGUGAAAUCCCGCGGCUCAACUGCGGGUCUGCAGUCGAUACGGGCAGGCUAGAGUUCGGUAGGGGAGACUGGAAUUCCUGGUGUAGCGGUGAAAUGCGCAGAUAUCAGGAGGAACACCGGUGGCGAAGGCGGGUCUCUGGGCCGAUACUGACGCUGAGGAGCGAAAGCGUGGGGAGCGAACAGG
rnacentral:rRNA from 1 species